GGUUACAAGGCAUUACAAAUCAUAUCAUAGUUCAUACUAAUACGCAAUACACUUUAUAAUUCAAAAUCUAUUUUUAAGCUUUAGAUCAACAAAUCAUGUAUUAACAUCAUGUAUGAAUAUUAUAAGUUUUAAUCUCAAUGAAUCGCUAUUAUCAAUCCACAUGAUUAUCAAUCCACAUGAUUAUCAAUCCAUAUGAUUAUAUUUAAAAAUAAAAAUAAAAACACUUACCAAAG
rnacentral:lncRNA from 1 species